rnacentral:rRNA from 1 species
UAAGUGUUAAUUAUGUUUACCAGGGUAGUAUUAGUUAUAAUCUUUAAACCCAAAGAAUUUGGCGGUAUCUUAUUCCAUUCAGAGGAACCUAUCCCAUAAUUGAUAAUACACGAUUAACUUUACUUAAUUUAUUUGUUUGUAUAUCUCCGUUAUCAGAAAAUCUUUUUAGAGUUUAAAUUUUCUUAAUUUAUAAUUGUAAAAUAUUUCAGGUCAAGGUGCAGCUUAUAAUUAAGAGGAGAUGGGUUACAAUAAAUUUUUUUUAUAACGGAUUUAUUAUUGAAAUAUUAUUAAUGAAGGUGGAUUUGAUAGUAAUUUAACAUAUUUAAUUUAAUUGAUAUUGGCUCUGAGGU